rnacentral:rRNA from 1 species
ACGCUCGACACCUACGGUAGGCAGCAGUGGGGAAUAUUGCACAAUGGGGGAAACCCUGAUGCAGCGACGCCGCGUGAGCGAAGAAGUAUUUCGGUAUGUAAAGCUCUAUCAGCAGGGAAGAAGAAAGACGGUACCUGACUAAGAAGCCCCGGCUAACUACGUUCCAGCAGCCGCGGUAAUCUGAGCGGGCUGGCAAGGC